CAGUAGCCGCAGUAAUACGGAGGGGGCUAGCGUUGUUCGGAAUUACUGGGCGUAAAGCGCACGUAGGCUGCUUUGUAAGUUAGAGGUGAAAGCCUGGUGCUCAACACCAGAACUGCCUUUAAGACUGCAGAGCUAGAACGUCGGAGAGGUGAGUGGAAUUCCGAGUGUAGAGGUGAAAUUCGUAGAUAUUCGGAAGAACACCAGUGGCGAAGGCGGCUCACUGGACGACUGUUGACGCUGAGGUGCGAAAGCGUGGGGAGCAAACAGGAUUAGAUACCCGAGUAGUCCCUGUCUCUUAUAC
rnacentral:rRNA from 1 species